rnacentral:misc_RNA from 1 species
UCUUCCCAAUUGUCUGAGGUCUUCACCGAAGCUGGUCAUGUGGUUUCUGUACAGGUUAUAUAUGACAAAGUUACGGAUAGGAGUAGGGGAUUUGCAUUUGUGACAAUGGCCACUUUGGAGGAAGCUAAAGAAGCAAUUCGGAUGUUUGAUGGCUCUCAAAUCGGUGGUCGAACUGUUCGGGUGAACUUCCCUGAAGUGCCAAGGGGAG